rnacentral:tRNA from 1 species
GAGACUUUAUUUUAAUUAAAAAAUCUGAGUUGCAUUCAGGAGAUGUGGAGUAGUGGUUCGCAAGUCUUU